CUACGGGAGGCAGCAGUGGGGAAUCUUGGACAAUGGGCGAAAGCCUGAUCCAGCCAUGCCGCGUGAGUGAUGAAGGCCCUAGGGUUGUAAAGCUCUUUUGUGCGGGAAGAUAAUGACGGUACCGCAAGAAUAAGCCCCGGCUAACUUCGUGCCAGCAGCCGCGGUAAUACGAAGGGGGCUAGCGUUGCUCGGGAUCACUGGGCGUAAAGGGUGCGUAGGCGGAUCUUUAAGUCAGAGGUGAAAGCCUGGAGCUCAACUCCAGAACUGCCUUUGAUACUGAGGAUCUCGAGUUCGGGAGAGGUGAGUGGAACUGCGAGUGUAGAGGUGAAAUUCGUAGAUAUUCGCAAGACCACCAGUGGCGAAGGCGGCUCACUGGCCCGAUACUGACGCUGAGGCACGAAAGCGUGUGGAGCAAACAGGAUUAGAUACCCCUGUAGUCC
rnacentral:rRNA from 1 species